CUUGACCCUCUUCUCUUUCUCUCUCUCUCUCCCUCCUGAGGCUGGGAGAUUUGAGUUUAAAUUUGCUUGCAAGUGACUGCACUACUGGUUCUACCUUUUUAAGGAGAAAAUGCCCAAUGUCCUGAUUUUAAAUCAGAAAAUUCCACCUCUGCGAUGGCCACAUCUUAAAUCGCUGCCUGCAGUAUCCAUUGUCGCCUCCCUUCCAGCAUGCCUAAGAUGGUAAUAAUGACAGCCACAGACAUGAGAAGCCUGAGCCUCCAAGUCCAGAGUUUCAGUCUCAGCUGUUGGCAACUCGGAAGUUCUGAUGAGUAAGAGGAGUGCGUUGGAAAGCUGACCUAAGUGAAUGACUUGAGAAGGAGCUCACAUUUGUUCAGACUGGGUCUACAAACUGCAGAAAUGCUUUGGGGUCAGGGCUGGUCAGCAAAGAGAGAACAUUAAAGACUCUGGAAGUGCAUUUUGGCUCUAUCAAAGAAUGGUGAGACCAAAGCAGGAGGAGAGCCUGAAGCACACCUUCCUUUCCCUGACACCCACAGAAGAAGGAGGACUGAGAAGGAGUCUUCUAUGGGGUGAAGAGUUGAGGGGACAGAAGACCUCUUAUAAAUGCUGCUGGAGAUAGAAGAAACUGGUAAGGAAAGGGGAAUUGAGAGAUGGGGUGAAGGAACAUUUGGGAGAGUGCUGAUGGAUGUCUAGGCAAACUGAGGUGGAUUAGAAAAUAAUCAUGGGCCCCUCUUCCCUAUCUUGUCACACGAAGAGGUGUGCUGUAGGGUAGAGCCCCAGCACGGUCUAACACUGGUGGUGGCUAUCUGAUUUCCACUAGCUGAAGCUCUGGCUUUUGACUCGAUUGUCUUCUAUUCACUCUUGGUAUUAGUGUAAAUGAUUAGAGAAAGGGGAGCAGAGAACUGGGCUUAGCCCAUGGGGUUGCUGGAGGAGCAGCACAACAUAAUUCCUGGUCUGAAAUGGGUGAGGCAGUAAUUGGGGUGUACAGGGUGGGGAUUGAUGUGGUCAAGCAAAGAAUUGGCGGAAUUAAUCGCAUGUGCAUGUGGCUACUCUGCCUAUUUUUCCUUUUCUCAGUAGUGUAGUUUGGCUCUGAGCCUAUUCCAGACAAUCCUAGCUUUCCCCUUCGUUAUUUCCCAUAGUAAAUGUUGAAUAAAAUCAAAUGAUAAACUGUGGUCUCAAGCUUUCCUUUAGGCCUUCUAGGAAAAACAGUUGUUAUAGGGCUUUUUGACUGUUAACACACCCUCCCCCUCUCAAUUUCUCAUAGUUUUCCAACUUGUUCUGUGAAAAAUUCUCAGGCUUUGCUCCUUAGAGCUGAUGCUGAUAAAUGGCCUCGGCAAGAGACCCAGCGAACUCCCACAGCAGACUGGGGCAGAGCUGAGUGUGUCCCUGUGGAUUUUUAUUUUUUAUUUCUUGGAAGGGGGAACAUGAGGGAGGGGAAUAGGCUGCUUUCUUAGCUGGGGUCCUCUACUUCUAGAUGUAGGAUAUAACAGUACUGCCUUCUGCUUCAGAACCAGCAGAGUAGACACAAGCUUACGGGGCUCUUCCACCACACUCCUUUGAGCAGGACAGGCACAGUGUUCUUGCUAUAGCCUUGCUUCACAGGGGGUGUGUGUGUCUGUGGUAUAUUGUCAUGAUUUUUUUAAUCAGCAUCAGGUGAAGGCAUUCGAAUGCCACUAAACUUAAGAGCCACAGGCUCCUUGACUCUGCUCCAGCUUUCCCACUGAUAUGACCCCAUUUGAGAGACGGGGGAAGGCCUGUCUUAGUAACUGAGCUCAUUGUGAAAGCACGCGUCUGAAAUGGUCACCGCUGCAGCCUUUUCCAUCCACCUCCACUUCAGAAGAAACCAAGGUAGAAACAAUAUAUUUGGUCUCACCUAAUCAAUCUCUGGCAAUAUGGGAUAACUCCUCCUAUUCCUGAUAUUUAAUUUUAUGUGUUACUUAAACAAUAUUAUCCCUUCUUUGUAAGUCUGCUCCAUACUGUGACAUACCUCUGGAUGCACUGCACUGUCAGUAAGAUGUAGACAAACAUUAAAGAGUCCCUACUGGGGUGGCAAGAAUGAUAAGAGGCUUAGAAAACAUGACCUGUGAGUAAAGGCUGAGAAAAUCAGUUUUGUUUAGUCUGGAAAAAGAGAAUAUGGCAGGAGCAGGGGCGGGAAAUAUGAUAGUUUUCAGAACUGUCUGAGGGUGUUACAGAAAGGACAGUGAUCAAUUCUAUGGGUCAGGGUGGGGUAAGGCAAUAAAUUGGCCUGAGUUCAGCAAAGGAGACUCGUAUUAGGCCUUAAAGAAAAGAGGGGUGGGGAAAUCAACCUCCAGCUGUCAGGACUGUUGAGUGUUGGCAACUUAGGGCCUGCGGAAUUAUUGCUAGAGGAGGCUCAUAAAAUGGGUUGGAGGGGUGAAAGCUGGAGAAAGCAGAUCCUAAAACUUCAUUGCACUUCCAGUCAGUUUUGUGUAUCACCACUAAUGCGAAUUCCAUGCUUAGUCUUGGCCAUUUUAAUCUAAAUGCAGUCAGUUGUAUUUUGAUCUACUUUUAUUAUCCCUUUUUUUGCUGCAUUUAGGUGUUUUCCCCUAUUGUACUCUCAAUCCACUUCAUAUUGCCAGAUGAAAAUACUGGGUGGUUGUUGACUCAAAGGGCUGUGUUUCUAUAACUGUAUUGCAUCAAAUUUGAACAUGGUGGUUUUUGUCUUUGUACAUCCAGGGGAGUGGCUCUUUCUGUACAGCACCUAGCAUACCAAGAUGCCUAUGCUAGGCUUGGUCCCUUGGCACAGGGACCCUGAACAAUGCUACAGGACAAAUAAUACACUUAAUUAGUCAUCCUCACUCUUCCACAAAUAACUCAUUUCCAUCUGUGUCUGUACUUGAGCAAGACUGAGGUGUUUGAUGUGUUGAGCUCAAUAAAAUAUUGCUUCUGGUGCUUUGCAGGCUGCCAGCAGUAGGGAAGGUACAGUGUGAAGCAGGUGGAGGGGCUGUGGCUGGUUAUCUAAUGUUGCAUGAAGAACACUGUUGUGUUAUAAGUACUUGCCAGAGAGCAGCAGGUCAGCAGCAGGAUCUCGCUUUGAUAGAAAACACUGAUAUGCUAGUUCAAAGAUGCAAAAAUGAGCGUGUAACUAGCCUGUCAUGAAAUGAAUUGACUGAAGAUACAUAUUAAAACCAGGCCUUGUGUGUUAGCUGCACAGUGAGGCAGGACCUAGACACUAUAUGAGGUCAGACUGGAAGAAACAGAGGCAAAAGGAGGAGGAUCAUGUGUCGUCCUUAAUGUCCGUGUCCUUGAGUAAGACCUAGCUGUCCUGUGCUUGGCUUACCAGAGGCAUUACUGUCAAUAAUGGAGAAGAAAGGGCUGAGUCCCUCCUCCGUCUGUAUAGCAGCACAUACUGCUCCUGUGUUAACAUCCAGAUUUACAGCCCACACGUCGUCAUUCAGCACAGCAGAAAACUCAGCCAAGGUUUCCCGUGGGGAAGCUGGCAGCCCUCAGGAACAUCCCCAGGCGCUCCUCGCUCCCUGCCUGCAGAUGGGCAGCCAGCCCGUGGCCCCCUUGGCAGCCCCCUGCUUCUCAGCCUGGGGGCUCUGACCCCACUGGGGCUGCAGCCCCUUGCAGGAGUGCUGCAGCCUGACAGGCGCUGGGACUUGCUCCUCAAAGGAGCAGGGGCUGAGCUCUUAAAACACCUCUGUGCCCCAGAGCCAAUAUCCUCAAGCUGGAGCAAUUCAGAAAUUUAGGGUUGUUCUUGAAGGUUGAGUUGUGGCAGUUUAAAAGCACCCAGGACUCCGAUCUGCUGCAUGCUCUGGUGGUGUUUGAAGCUUGCUACAGCCACAUUGUGCUAUCCAUGGGGGGUUGUGGGCAAAUCCAGCUCUGCUCCUGGCUGUGCCAGCUGCCCUACAGUCUUCCAUGCUGUAAGGGGCAUGGGGGAAAGAUGUCCAGGCAGGACCUGGGCUUUGUCUCCAGGGUGGGAUAUAGUAGGUACAGACCUUUAUCUUGCUCUUCUCUGCCAGAGCUAGUGUCAGAAGAUGAGGACAAUGUGCCAAGAUUUACCUCAUCAUAUCUCGUUAUUUGGAGACAAUGAAGAACUGGGAUCAGCCUCCACAGAAAAGUCUGCAGAAGAGUAUCUUGCACCCUGUGAUGCUGCUCCACUUGGCUCAGGCUGCCCCUGCCCAAGUUGUGCCUUUUUUUUUUUUGUGAGAACAAGGAUUAUCAAGGAGUGUUUCACUUUGAGGCUCUUCUGUAGAAAGUCUGGGGCACUUGUGUUCUGGUAAUUAAGCUCUUUUUAAAGCAUUUCAGCUCAGAUAUAUGACCUCUUUUCUCUCUCCAUUUUAUAGCCUCUCCUAGAGGCAUAAGCACUUCUGUGGUGCUGCUUCUUCCACUUGCGGUUUGCCUCCCACACUCAAGUCCUUAGAGCUGCCAUAUAAGUAUGCUGUUUUUCAGGCUUUUCUUUUUGUGAGGUGUUGAGAAGAAAUUGGGACUUAAAUUAUCCUGUAGGGUGUUGAUGACAUUUUCCCUUACUGUGUUUAGACCAUGCUGGCUAAAGCUAUCUCGCAUCUAUCCAAAGUUAUUGCAGACAAGACAAGCUUUGAUCUCUCCAAAAGUGCAGAAGUGGAUGUCUGCCCGUAAUGUGAUGUCUCUCCUAUUAUUGCUGAGCCCGGAACACAAUAACAUCUUAUAGAGGGCUUUGGAGUUUAGAUUACAGCCCAUUUAUUUAUUUUGCUGGAGCACUGUCCCAUAAGGAAAAUACUGUGCUGGGUUUAAAGAGCCAGACAAUGGAGCAGCCGUCACAUUUAGAUGUUGCUUUUGAAACAAUACCCUAAUGCUACAUCACUUUGCUCUGCUGGGUUCUGCUCCUACUCAUCAACAGCAAAAAUCACAAGAACAGAUUUAGUAAAAAGGCUUCAGUGAUGUUUAAUGAAAAGCAUGCUGAAAAUGAAAACACUGGCUCGACUGUGCUGAAAAAGCUGAACAAGUAGCUCUCUGGUUCCUAGGUUUCUUCUUGAGCAGUGGAUGUAAGCAUUACCUCACACUCAGGAAGGUGGCAGGCAACAGAUAGAUUGUCUCAGACUUUUGUGAGAAAAAAGUAUUGUUACACUUAGAGUAAAUAAUAAUGCCAAAUGCAUGCCAAAGAUAUAUUCCAUACCUUACCACCAAAUCAAGAAUCAGGUCAAGAAUCCCUGCAUAUAUAGAAAAGGAAAAAAAAAAAAAAGGCUAGUCUACUGUCUGUGAAAAUAACAUUACUUUUUUUUUUUGAGUCUGCAGAUUGCCUAAAAUAACAGCUUCAAGAUGUAUGAUCUUCUGUAUUUGUACUUGAUGCAUUUUCAGAUAAAAUGAAAAACAUGCAGUAUUUUUACAAACUUGUUUUGUUGAAAAAUGUUUGAAAAAUUGUAGUGAAAAAAGCUGAUGCUGUUUUGCUUGCCCUAUUUGCCAAGUUCCUCUCCUUCCUUCUUCAAGUUUUUAAAAAUACAAACAUGGUAAGUAAAAGCAGGUAAAAAUACCUGUGUAUUGCAAAGGGGUUUUACACUUAUUUUGAUGCCCUUUUGAUUUAUUAAAGUAUAGGAAAUCAUGGAAAUUGACAAAAGACAUUGGAAAGCAAAUCUUUGAAAUUUAUUCUCCAAAGUGAGCUUUCAAUUCUCACCAGCUUGACUAGAGCUAUUUAGAUAAAUAUUUUGUUGGCACUGUCCCUAUGAUAUGCAUCUCCUAUGGAUCGUUUAGUAUCUUAGACAUCUUAAAAGAAUUAGGUAGCCCUUAAGCAUCUCUGUUAAACUCUCCAACACUCUUGCUCUCUUAAAAUCUGAUUUUCACAAUGCAAUUAUGUGCAAGAAUUAUGAAGACCGAAGUUGUGUGUAUAUAUAUCUAUCUGAGGCAGAAACUAAGAGACUAAGGCGAAGGGGAUUCAGCAUUAACUAUUUAUUAAUUUCUUGAUGAACCCUCUGACAAUGUUUCCAUGCCUCAAUGUGUACGAAGUGCUUGAGAUCUUGCUGGUGCACCAGAUCGCUGCAAAGCCUGGGAAUCUUGCCAUGAAAAUUAGGGCUAGUUUGACAUGGAUUACAUGGGUUUUUGCUAGUAAUUACUGGAACAGCGCAUUUGGUAAGCUGGCAUUUGAUGCACACACACAUAUGGCAGGUCAAGCAGGGUAACAGGAAGCACUGUGAGCAGCUCUUUCCAGCCAAGUUUUCUUUUUAAAGGACCAAGUCAGCAAUAACAGACCAAAAUAACAAGCCAAGUCCCAAACAGAGCAGCCAAGACUUCAUGUGUUAUCCCACCUAAUUGCUUAAAUCCUCCUUACUGAUUACCUCUUUUAAGUCCUCUGUUAAGGAUGUGAGUGAAAUUUCCACGUCUGUCUUCUGAACGUGGACCCAUGACCCUACUUACGUGCGGCUGCUCAGAUCCAUUUAAAACUUUGGGCAGAGGGCUAUUCUGCUGCAUAAAUUGAGAAAUACAAGGUGAUGAGAGAACUAAAAACACAGCACAUGUGCUUGGGUUCAGAGUGAAGGCUGUGGAUCCAACUGGAGGGACUGAAUGGCUAACUUCUGAAUGAUUUACUGAGCAGCCUUUGGAGAGCCCAGAGUGCAGGAGCCUCAUAUCUUUGAGAUUUUGGGGAGAUACAAAGAGCGUAGGUCUAUGAGGUCUUUUCACUUAAAAAUCCAAAGCCUGGAAACCUUACCUUGGAGAUAGAGAUAUAAGAGGCUUAAUCUAUUCAUUUUAGCAAAGAGAAGGUGAAGAGGUGACUUGGUCAGAGCCCACAAGACUUUAGUGUGGUAGAGGGUUUCUGGAACAAAGAUCUCUUUUGUGGGGCAGGGAGAGGCAUAACAAACCCAGUGUCUGGAAGCUGCAGCUAGGCUUAUACAGAUGGGAACUGAGGUGCAAAAUCAUGGGCUUGAGGCAGGAAUCACUGGCAGAAUUUCUCUGCCUGGUGUUACGCCGCGGAUCAGACUAGGUCAUCACAACCAGCACUCUUGGCUUUGAAAUCUGUGCGCCUAUGAUUAACGUGAUUCCCACAUUAUAUGCACACAUCAGCAUUGCAUUUAGCCACUGAAGAAGAGAGAGAAUGCAUCCAAUUAGCUCUGGGCUUUCUGCCCGAAAAGGGAAAAUGAAGUGGGAUUUUGUUUAAGGACAACCCCAAUAACUCUGCAAAACACCAUGGGAUCAUUAGCACUUGGGCAGAGGGGACGGGAUUUCAAGGGCCGGCACAAAAGACCCUGCAGAAUGAACUCUGUUCAGUGAGCUGUAUUGAAGGAGGGACUGUGCCUACCUUGCUCCUGGCUUAGUUACAGUCCUAGAAAGUACAGAACAUGCUUAGAUAACCAAAUCAGAGGUAUGCAGGGCUGUACUGCUUUAGAAACAGCAGGUACAAGAACCCUUUAUUUCCAUAGGGUCUUGCAUAAAUUGAAAGGAGAAUAUCCUUUUCUCUGAGGCUGGUCAUGUUAAAAGGGGUGGUGUGUGGGUGAUAGUGAUGGGAGGCAAUUGUUCCUAUAGAGCAGGCCUCAUUUAAAUGUUUAGUUUUUGCUGGGAAACCAAGUUCUCAUAAGAACUUUGAAAGAGUCAGUUUCAAGUGUUCUUGAUUCACAAUAUAGGGGGAAAAAA